CAUUUAUCUAUUGUCUAUCUACCUCUCAGUCACUUGCUUCUCAUUUAAUCAUGAAAUUGACAUUUUUCUGUCUUCAGGUGGGCCUGCCACCCCUUUGUACAGAAUUCAUCACUGCGGUUGUAUGAAAGAAGGGGCCUGGCCAUCAGGCUACCUCAGACUGGUAGCCAACAUGGGUUGGCUCAAUUCAUCCUGUGGGGUGUGAUAGUUGGCAGCUCCGGGCACCAUUCCCACAGCCAAGGUACCAGUGUAACCUUGCCUGGCUACCUGGCUUUUAGGUCAUAAGGCUGGAAACAAGGAUAUUCUCUCUGCACCUGUUGGGAACUUCUAAAUCCAUCUCGACAUAGUUUCAGCUCCACCUCAGUCGAUGCUCUGAGAGGUCCAGGAGUUUCUGCAAGCCCUGAAAUCGUUACGGAGUUAGAAGCUAUUUUUCUCCACGAAGCAAUGAAGAGAAUGCAGGGAGAUGUGACUCAAAGGAGAUGUUUUGUUUUUCAAAGUGGGAGAUAUCUGAGCGUGCGGUUUGCUGAUGGGAAUAAUCCAGCAGGGCGGGGCACAAUGCCGAAAACCACAGAAGAGAAAUCCACUGGAAAAGGGAAGGCAUAAACCCCGGAGCUCGGAUGGACGGUUGGACUUUGAACAGGGAGACAGACUGGCCGACCACGGAGCCAGGCAUCCUGUCUCUUUUUCUCAACGAAUACCCAGCCCCUAGAAUAGCACAUGGUGCUGGAAGGUGCUCAAUAAAAUUGGUGUUGGCUGAAUGAAUGAGGGUACCGGGGGCGGGGA